rnacentral:rRNA from 1 species
UACGUAGGGGGCGAGCGUUGUCCGGAUUUAUUGGGCGUAAAGAGCUCGUAGGCGGUUCGGCAAGUCAGAUGUAAAAACUCCAGGCUCAACUUGGAGAGGCCAUCUGAUACUGCCGUGACUAGAGUCCGGUAGAGGAGCACGGAAUUCCUGGUGUAGCGGUGAAAUGCGCAGAUAUCAGGAGGAACACCAGCGGCGAAGGCGGUGCUCUGGGCCGGAACCGACGCUGAGGAGCGAAAGCGUGGGGAGCGAACAGG